rnacentral:rRNA from 1 species
GACGAACGCUGGCGGCGUGCUUAACACAUGCAAGUCGAACGGAAAGGCCCUGCUUUUGUGGGGUGCUCGAGUGGCGAACGGGUGAGUAACACGUGAGUAACCUGCCCUUGACUUUGGGAUAACUUCAGGAAACUGGGGCUAAUACCGGAUAGGAGCUCCUGCUGCAUGGUGGGGGUUGGAAAGUUUCGGCGGUUGGGGAUGGACUCGCGGCUUAUCAGCUUGUUGGGGGGGUAGUGGCUUACCAAGGCUUUGACGGGUAGCCGGCCUGAGAGGGUGACCGGCCACAUUGGGACUGAGGUACGGCCCAGACUCCUACGGGAGGCAGCAGUGGGGAAUAUUGCACGAUGGGCGGAAGCCUGAUGCAGCACCGCCGCGUGCGGGAUGACGGCCUUCGGGUUGUAAACCGCUUUCGCCUGUGACGAAGCGUGAGUGACGGUAAUGGGUAAAGAAGCACCGGCUAACUACGUG